AUAUAUGCUUCAAAAAGCACAUUUGUGAUAUUCCACAGAAGACAAAAGAAAGGACUUCUCUGGAAGGUAACUUCAAGGGGACAACAACAGAGCUAUGGACUGCAGGAAGAUGGCCUGCUUCUCUUCCAGUGUGAUUUGGAUCAUGGCCAUUUUGAAGCCUUAGAACUGGGAUUAGUUGCUGGGCUGGGCCAUCAGGAACUUGCGUGUCCAUCUCAGGGAGACCUGGCCUUCAGAAAUGACAGCAUUCGGCCCCAGGAGGAGCUAAGCAGAACCUGCUGCCUGAAUGGGGGAACCUGCAUUGGGGUCCUUUUGUGCCUGCCCCCCGUCCUUCUAUGGAUGGAACUGUGAGCACGAUGUGUGCAAAGAGAACUGUGGGUCUGUGCUCCAUGACACCUGGCUGCCCAAGAAGUGUUCCCUGUGUAAAUGCUGGCACGGCCAGCUCGGCUGCUUUCCUCAGGCAUUUUACUGGCUGUGAUGGCCUUGUGAUGGAUGAGCAUCUCAUGGCUUCCAGGACUCCAGAACUACCACCGUCUGCAUGUACCACUUUUAUGCUAGCUGGCAUCUGCCUUUCUAUACAAAGUUACUAUUAAUUGACACUGACCUAUUUCCAGAAAUACCAUUUUAGAUAUCAUGCAAAUUUCAUGACCAGUAAAAGCUGCUGCUACAAUGAAAGAUGA